UGGAGAAACUCGUGCUAACAGAGAGUCGUCUUCUCACGAAACGUACGACGACUUGUCGCCAAAUUCAACGAACCCUAACUUCUAUGACGACCUGCAAAUGUCAUGAACAAAGAAGAACAUCAGUUUUAUACAACUGUAUACAAAAUUGACAGUGCACAAACAAGCGAUACAAAUUAUUAUCAGCCCAAAGUGACGAAGACAACACUGAGCAGCUGAAAACCUGACAAACAUACACAGUCAAUAAAGAACAAUUGAUACCCAUGCGGAGAAAGCUAACAUUUCAAUGCGUACAUCUGAAAUUAGGAUCUAAGUCCCCACAUGACAGAAUCAUAGACAUACGUUGGCAACCCAGCAACAAACAAUGGAUCAAGUGUCAUGUGAAAAUGCCUUCAUGUUUGCGUUGAAAAAUCAACUAAAAAUGUUCUCUUGUUCUAUAAACAUACCGAUCAUAAAGGUAACUUUACCUAUCUGAUUUUAUUAUUGUUGAAUAACUACGGUAAAAUAAAAGAUACUGCACUAA